GGGUGGAAUCUGAAGGGUGAGCCUUCUUCCCCAGGCUGGGAGUGGGUGAGACGAGACUGGGGCCUGUAUGUCUGAGUGCCCCCCAAACCCAGCAGUCAUGUUGCAAGGAAACGAAAUCACGUUACUUCUUCCAGCUGAUGUUCCACUUGUUUCUUCUGUUGUUUCUGUGGGGAGAGUCAAAUAAGGUGAUGGAGGGUGGCCCCCUCAACUCUAUUCCCCAUACCAGGAAGCGGUAGGCAGGGGCCAGGAAUGGAUUUUAAAGGCAAAGUUCUCAGACCUAAUGGGAACACGAACCGGUAAACUCUCCUCAAGCUCCCAAGGACAGAGGAUUUGGGUCUUUGUUGGCUUUUGCCCACAGCCACAGAACUCAAAGUCUGAAUCUGGAAUCUCUUGAGAGGACAGAAACAUAAACCUCUAGAGAUGGAGUUUGAGAAAGGCCCCUCCUUCUGGCAGCUUGUGAUUUAGAAAAGUGGGUUCAUUCAAUAAACAUUUACUGAGC
rnacentral:antisense_RNA from 1 species